GUAUGUUUUGGGGUCAUUGUCCUGCUGGAAGACCCAAGAUCUCGGACACAAACCCAGCUUUCUGACACUGGGCUGUACAGUGUGACCCAAAAUCCAUUGGUAAUCCUCAGAUUUCAUGAUGUCUUGUACACAUUCAAGGCCCCCAGUGCCAGAGGCAGCAAAACAACCCAAAACAUCACUGACCUCCCCCAUAUGUCACUGUUCCUUAUGUACAGGACUCACAACUAAAGUUUUCUUCUAAAGCCAAUGGCCAUUUUUGAUCAGUGACCGACCAAGGAUGGAGAAGGACAGAGACCACAUGUCUGGGAGGAUAUUAGACCUCACCCUAGAGAUGAUCUACUGGAUCACUGGAGAGGAUUACACAGUAGUGAAGAAGUCGUCUGGUGAGUGUGUGACACCCCGUGUGUCAGGAGGCUGGAGCAGGAGCCAGAGCCCCGCCCCCGAGGAGCCUCCACCUCAUUCACUGAUACAUGAGCAGAAGAUCCUAGAACUUACCUCCAGGAUCACUGAGCUGCUGACUGGAGAGGUGAGCGCUGCUGGGAAUGCUGGGACAUUAUACAAUAACACCAAGGUAUGAAGUGUCUGGAGGAGAAUUGUAUCAUUGUCUGUGUCAGGUUCCUAUAAGGUGUCAGGAUGUCACUGUCUAUUUCUCCAUGGAGGAGUGGGAGUAUUUAUUAGGACACAAGGAUCUGUACAAGGAUCAGGUCAUGAUGGAGGAUCACCAGUCCCUCACAUCACCAGGUAAGAGGAGAGAGCAGGUUUGUGGAUCUCCUAGAUUCCCCCAUCAUCUGAUCAUCACAUAUAACAAUGGAUUCAGUCACUGUGUUUAUUUCCUAUAGAUGGAUCCAGUAGUAUAAAUCCCCCAGAGAGAUGUCCCCGUCCUCUAUAUCCCCAGGAUUGUAAAGAGGAAGAGGAGGAUAUCCCACUGGACCAUCAGGUCCUUAAUAUAAGAUCUUGGCCGGAAACUGCAAGUGGACUCAAAAAAUACGCAUGGGAGUCAGAGAAUGGUGAAGACGGGACGAGCGGCUCCUGUACACAACAUCAUUUAUCUCCCAAUUAUGAAGUAAAAGAUGAUCAAUCACAAUUUGGCAUAAACAGAGCCGGACAUAAACUGGGUGAAAUUUGUGCAAAUUCCAAAAGUGCCGAACAUUUGGAAAUAUUUGGAAAUAUCCUUAUAUUGAGACACAUCAACAAACUCACACAGGGGAGAAACCAUUUUCAUGUUCAGAAUGUGGGAAAUGCUUUAGUCAGAAAUCGUGUCUUGUCAAACAUAACAGAACUCACACAGGAGAGAAACCGUUUUCAUGCCCUGAAUGUGGGAAAUGCUUUGGUCAGAAAUCGUGUCUUGUCAAACAUAUGCAAACUCACACAGGAGAAAAGCCCUACUCAUGUCCUGAAUGUGGGAAAUGUUUUGGUCAAAAAUCAAAUCUCGUGGAACACCUGAGAACUCACACAAAGGAGAAGCUGUUUUCAUGUAGAGUAUGUGGGAAAUGUUUUAAGCAUAAAUAAAGUCUUAGUCAACACAAAAAAACUCACACAAAGGUGAAGGCGUAUUCAUGUUUGCAAUGUGGAAAAUGUUUUACUAUGAGAGCAAAUCUUUUUAAACAUAAAAGAACUCACACAGGGGAGAAGCCAUUUCCAUGUGCAGAAUGUGGGAAAUGUUUUAUUGAAAAAUCAAUUCUUGUAAAACAUCAGAGAAUUCACACAGGAGAGAAGCCAAAUUCAUGUACAGUAUGUGGGAAAUGUUUCACUCACAAAUCCAGUCUUCUGAAACAUUUAAAAAUUCACACAAGGAAGAAACCAUAAUCCUGUGCAGAAA